UGGGGAAUAUUGCACAAUGGGCGAAAGCCUGAUGCAGCGACGCCGCGUGAGGGACGAAGGCCUUCGGGUUGUAAACCUCUUUCAGCAGGGAAGAAGCGAAAGUGACGGUACCUGCAGAAGAAGCACCGGCUAACUACGUGCCAGCAGCCGCGGUAAUACGUAGGGUGCAAGCGUUGUCCGGAAUUAUUGGGCGUAAAGAGCUCGUAGGCGGUUUGUCGCGUCUGCUGUGAAAACUCAGGGCUUAACCCUGAGCCUGCAGUGGGUACGGGCAGACUAGAGUGCGGUAGGGGAGAUCGGAAUUCCUGGUGUAGCGGUGGAAUGCGCAGAUAUCAGGAGGAACACCGGUGGCGAAGGCGGAUCUCUGGGCCGUAACUGACGCUGAGGAGCGAAAGCAUGGGGAGCGAACA
rnacentral:rRNA from 1 species